rnacentral:rRNA from 1 species
UACGGAGGGGGCUAGCGUUGUUCGGAAUUACUGGGCGUAAAGCGCGCGUAGGCGGCUUUGUAAGUUAGAGGUGAAAGCCCGGGGCUCAACCCCGGAACUGCCUUUAAGACUGCAUCGCUUGAAUCCAGGAGAGGUGAGUGGAAUUCCGAGUGUAGAGGUGAAAUUCGUAGAUAUUCGGAAGAACACCAGUGGCGAAGGCGGCUCACUGGCCCGGUACUGACGCUGAGGUGCGAAAGCGUGGGGAGCAAACAGG